CCCUUAGAUGUUCUGGGCUGCACGCGCGCUACACUGACAAACUCAGCGAGUCUCCUGGUCCGAGAGGAUUGGGUAAUCAUGUGAGCGUGUGUCGUGAUGGGGAUAGAAUAUUGUAAUUAUUACUCUUCAACGAGGAAUUCCUAGUAAGCGCGAGUCAGCAGCUCGCGCUGAUUACGUCCCUGCCCUUUGUACACACCGCCCGUCGCUCCUACCAAUGGGUGAUCCGGUGAAUGACUCGGACUCUGGAAUUAGCUAUUUAUAGCUUUUAUCCGGAGGAAGUUUUGUGAACCUUAUCACUUGGAGGAAGGAGAAGUCGUAACA
rnacentral:rRNA from 1 species